UAGUAACUGCGAGUGAAGCGGGAAAAGCUCAAAUUUAAAAUCUGGCAGUCUUUGAUUGUCCGAGUUGUAAUCUAGAGAAGUGUUAUCCGCGUUGGACCUGUACAAGUCUCCUGGAAUGGAGCGUCAUAGAGGGUGAGAAUCCCGUCUUUGACACGGACUACCAAGGCUUUGUGAUGCGCUCUCAAAGAGUCGAGUUGUUUGGGAAUGCAGCUCAAAAUGGGUGGUAAAUUCCAUCUAAAGCUAAAUAUUGGCGAGAGACCGAUAGCGAACAAGUACCGUGAGGGAAAGAUGAAAAGAACUUUGGAAAGAGAGUUAAACAGUACGUGAAAUUGCUGAAAGGGAAACGCUUGAAGUCAGUCGCGUUGUUCAGAACUCAACCUUACUUUUGUGGGGUGUACUUUCUGUUUAACGGGUCAGUAUCAAUUUUGACUGUUGGAUAAAGUCCUUUGGAAUGUGGCUUCUUCGGAAGUGUUAUAGCCUUUGGUCGCAUACAACAGUUGGGAUUGAGGUACUCAGCACGCUGCAAAGCCGGGUUUCGACCACGUUCGUGCUUAGGAUACUGGCAUAAUGGCUUUAAUCGACCCGUCUUGAAACACGGACCAAGGAGUCUAACAUGCCUGCGAGUGUUUGGGUGGUAAACCCGAGCGCGUAAUGAAAGUGAAAGUUGAGAUCCCUGUCGUGGGGAGCAUCGACGCCCGGACCAGACCUUUUGUGACGGAUCCGCGGUAGAGCAUGUAUGUUGGGACCCGAAAGAUGGUGAACUAUGCCUGAAUAGGGUGAAGCCAGAGGAAACUCUGGUGGAGGCUCGUAGCGAUUCUGACGUGCAAAUCGAUCGUCAAAUUUGGGUAUAGGGGCGAAAGACUAAUCGAACCAUCU
rnacentral:rRNA from 1 species